rnacentral:rRNA from 1 species
GACGAACGCUGGCGGCGUGCUUAACACAUGCAAGUCGAGCGGUAAGGCCCUUUCGGGGGUACACGAGCGGCGAACGGGUGAGUAACACGUGGGUGACCUGCCCUCAGCUCUGGGAUAAGCCUGGGAAACCGGGUCUAAUACUGGAUAUGACUCCAUGACGCAUGUUGUGGGGUGGAAAGCCUUGUGCGGCUGAGGAUGGGCCCGCGGCCUAUCAGCUUGUUGGGGGGUGAUGGCCUACCAAGGCGACGACGGGUAGCCGGCCUGAGAGGGCGACCGGCCACACUGGGACUGAGACAC